rnacentral:lncRNA from 1 species
UGAAGAAAUGUAUUUUCAAUCAAAAAAAGAAAAAAGAAAAUGCCAGACAUUUGUAGGCCAGUCUUAUGGAGGUAAUUUCUCAGCUGAGGUCCCCUUAAUAUGAGUGACCCUAGCCAAUAUUAAGUUAACAACAACAAAAGUAACAAGGACUAUCCCCAACCCUUUUGUGUUUUCUGUUUUAAGAUGAGGACCAGCUAAGUUGCCAGGCCACCCUCACAUUAUGCCACCUGACUGUGGCUCGAUUUCUAGUUCUGAAGUCAGUUUACCUGUCUGGGAAUAUCUACAGCUCAAGAACUACGCUGACAUUGGCAGAAACAGCCUGGAGACAUUUGCAGAGGGGCUGUUGAGUGCAAGGAAAAUGAAUCUAGCAACGCAUGGGUAUAAGUCCUGACAUCUGUAAUUGCCAUGGGGCUCUGGCCAUCUAUGGUCUUUACUUUUGGGGGGACACAAAGGCCCAGCUGCCAUAGCAUUUAGGGA